rnacentral:rRNA from 1 species
GACGAACGCUGGCGGCGUGCCUAAUACAUGAAAGUAGGACGCAGUUGCGAACGAGGGAGUAAAGCGUAGGUAACUGCCUAUUAGAGGGGGAUAACUAUUGGAAACGAUAGCUAAUACCGCAUACUAGUAGAUGGACCUGCGUUGUAUUAGCUAGUAGGUAGGGUAAUGGCCUACAUAGGCGACGAUACAUAGCCGAGCUGAGAGGGUGAUCGGCGACGCUGGGACUGAGACACGGCCCAGACUCCGACGGAAGGCAGCCGUAGGGACCAUUCGGCAAUGGGGGGAACGCUGGCCGAGCAACGCCGCGUGAGUGACGAAGGUUUUCGUAUCGUAAAGCUCUUUUGUUAAGGAAGCGGUACUUCACAAGACAGGGACGGCUACCUACGUGCCAGCAGCCGCGGUAAUAC